UAGGGAGUUUGACAGGAGCCGUCCCUAGUACGAGAGGACCGGGAUGGACGGACCUCCGGUGUAGCGGUUGUGCCGCCAGGCGCAGCGCCGCGUAGCCGACGUCCGGCAGGGAUAAGCGCUGAAAGCAUCUAAGUGCGAAGCUCGCCUGAAGAUGAGACUCCCCACCGGGUUAACCGGGUAAGGCCCCUGGUAGAUCACCAGGUUGAUAGGACGCACGUGGAAGCACAGCAAUGUGUGGAGCUGAGCGUUACUAAUGGCCGAGGGCUCGCGCCU
rnacentral:rRNA from 1 species